rnacentral:rRNA from 1 species
AUUGAACGCUGGCGGCAUGCUUUACACAUGCAAGUCGAACGGCAGCGAGGAGAAGCUUGCUUCUCUGUCGGCGAGUGGCGAACGGGUGAGUAUAGCAUCGGAACGUGCCAAGUAGUGGGGGAUAACCAAACGAAAGUUUGGCUAAUACCGCGUAAGCUCUAAGGAGGAAAGUAGGGGACCUAAUAAGGCCUUACGCUAUUUGAUCGGCCGAUGUCGGAUUAGCUAGUUGGUGGGGUAAUGGCUCACCAAGGCAAUGAUCCGUAGCGGGUCUGAGAGGACGAUCCGCCACACUGGGACUGAGACACGGCCCAGACUCCUACGGGAGGCAGCAGUGGGGAAUUUUGGACAAUGGGGGAAACCCUGAUCCAGCCAUGCCGCGUGUAUGAAGAAGGCCUUAGGGUUGUAAAGUACUUUUGUUAGGGAAGAAAAGCUAGUUUUUAAUAAAAAUUAGUGAUGACGGUACCUAAAGAAUAAGCACCGGCUAACUACGUG